rnacentral:rRNA from 1 species
ACUCCUACGGGAGGCAGCAGUAGGGAAUUUUCCGCAAUGGACGAAAGUCUGACGGAGCAAUGCCGCGUGAGUGAUGAAGGUUUUCGAAUCGUAAAGCUCUGUCUAGGUAAGGAAUGAAUAGCAAGAAUAGGAAAUGAUUCUUGUCUGACGGUACCUUACCAGAAAGCCACGGCUAACUACGUGCCAGCAGCCGCGGUAAUACGUAGGUGGCAAGCGUUAUCCGGAAUUAUUGGGCGUAAAGCGCAUGUAGGCGGCUCUUUAAGUCUGAUGUGAAAGCCUGUGGCUCAACCACAGAAUUGCAUUGGAUACUGGAGAGCUAGAAUCUUGGAGAGGUAAGUGGAAUUUCAUGUGUAGCGGUGGAAUGCGUAGAUAUAUGAAGGAACACCAAUGGCGAAGGCAGCUUACUGGACAAGUAUUGACGCUGAGAUGCGAAAGUGUGGUAGCAAACAGGAUUAGAUACCCUGGUAGACUGUCAU